rnacentral:piRNA from 1 species
UAAAAGACGGACCAGGCACCCAGGA